rnacentral:tRNA from 1 species
GCAGUGGUGGUUCAGUGGUAGAACUCUCACCUUCUAUGCCAGAGGCCAGGGUUCAAUUCCCAGCCAAUGUG